AUGAGAGGAGUUUCUUAUAAAAGCUUUCGAAUUCAGAUGUAACCCAGCAAUGCACUCAGACUCCUCUCUGCUGUGGAGAGCUUUUUUUUUUUUUUUUCAUAUUAAACUUUCACUCCAACUUUAUCUUUGUGUUUACAAUUCUUAAUUUUUUUGUCUUGGAUAAAGAACAAAAAACCUGGAGUACUUCUUCAGACAACAAGAAACUUCCAAAUUAAGGUGCAUUGGCAAGAAUGCAACAUAUUUUGAUCCAUUGGCUUGGAAGGAGGGAAUUCAUCAGAAGGGAGUGAAGACUGAUUUUGCAGAGCCAAUAAAGGCCCCUGGGGAAACUGGCCUCAUAUCUUGUCAUGAAGAUUUUAUACAGGUUUCCUAACCUGUGUGCUCACUGCUGCAAAGAAGAACAAGCACACAGGCAAAAAGUUUUCCCAGCAAGAAUGCCAGGGUGAAAGGAAAGAUCAAUUGGACCAGAGCACAAGUGCUGCUCCAGUUACUUGGCAGAGUACCUAAUAGUGAUCCACCACAAUACCACCAUAUAUCUGUUUGGGAAUAAACAAGGGCAAGUUGACUGCUUAAGAGUGAUGACAUGCAACUCAGUCUCUUGCAACACCACCUGAGAAAAGGAAGCACUAGCAGGAAGAACAAAUUGAUGGAGAGGAAAAGUGAUGAAUACAGAUAAGAAGCACAGCUGGUGGAGGCUCAUGUGCCAGUUUACUGGGCCUCAGGACAUUCUCCUCUAGAAGGAGGAGACAGCAUGACCCCCACUUUCUUUUAUUUUAUUAUAAUUUAAGUUUUAGGGUACAUGAGCACAAUGUGCAGGUUAGUUACAUAUGU
rnacentral:lncRNA from 1 species